rnacentral:rRNA from 1 species
ACAGUUCACAAAGCGCAACACAACACAACACAACACAGAGCCACACAAGAGCAGCUAGCAGCAAGAGACGGGCGCAGCAGAUAAGCUCUCCUGGCUGCACGUACCUAGCUCAAGCUCGAGGGCACCGGCCAUGUCGCCCGUGCACGUCCCGGAGCUCAGCAGCGGCGGGUCGGGGUCGGGGUCGCUCACCCUGAACCCCGUGCAGCGCGCGCUCACCCGGCUGUCGUCGUCGUCGGCCCUCACGCCCAGGUCGCCCCCGCCGUCCUACGGGAGCAUCGUCACCGUGCUCAGCAUCGACGGCGGCGGCGUCCGCGGCAUCAUCCCCGGAACCAUCCUCGCCUUCCUCGAAGAGAAGCUCCAGGAGCUCGAUGGGCCGGACGUGAGGAUCGCGGAUUACUUCGACGUGAUCGCCGGGACCAGCACCGGGGGCCUGGUGACGGCCAUGCUCACGGCGCCCGACGCCAAAGGACGCCCGCUCUUCGCCGCCAAGGACAUCAACAACUUCUACCUGGAGCACUGCCCAAAGAUCUUCCCUGCCGUCUACGGAGGGCCUCUGGGCUUGCUCAGGAGCAUGAGGGGGCCCAAGUACGACGGCCAGUACCUCCACUCCGUCGUCAAAGAGCUGCUCGGCGAGACGCGGGUCGGCGAGGCGCUGCAGAACAUAGUCAUCCCCACCUUCGACAUCAAGCUGCUCCAGCCAACCAUCUUCUCCAGAUACGACGCCCGGAACGACGUCUCCAAGAACGCUCUUCUGUCCGACGUCUGCAUCAGCACGUCGGCGGCGCCUACUUACCUCCCCGGCCACCACUUUGAGACCAAGGACAAGGAUGGCAAGCCCCGGGCAUUCAAUCUCAUCGACGGAGGCGUUGCCGCAAACAAUCCGACAAUGUUGGCCAUGACGGACGUAAGCAAGCAGAUCCUGCUGGGCAACCAGGACUUCUUCCCGAUCAAGCCGGCCGACUACGGCAAGUUCAUGGUGCUCUCCCUCGGCACCGGCUCCGCCAAGGUAGAGGAGAAGUUCGACGCCGCCGCGUGCAGCAAGUGGGGGAUCCUCGGAUGGCUCUACAACAAGGGCGCCACGCCGCUCAUCGACAGCUUCAGCCAGGCCAGCGCCGACCUCGUCGACAUCCAGGCGUCCGUGCUCUUCCAGGCGCUGCGCUGCGAGAAGCGCUACCUCCGCAUCCAGGACGACGAGCUCAAGGGCGACACAUCUUCCGUCGACGUGUCCACGCCCGAGAACCUCAACAGGCUCGUCGAGGUCGGCAAGGCGCUGCUCAAGAGGAGCGUGUGCAGGGUGAACGUGGAGACGGGCAAGACCGUGCCUGAUGACAAUAGAGGCACCAAUGAGGAGGAGCUAAUCAGUUUUGCACGGAUGCUGUCGCAGGAGCGCAAGGCCAGGCUGCAGAAGAAGGGAGUCACCGUCCCACAGUAAAUAACAUUGGAUAGUUAAUACUGUAGCAUAUACGUAUAUAGCUAAACUCGUAUUACGUGUAAGGCAAAUUAGGAAAAGUCAAUAGACGGUCGAACCAUGGUAGGCUGGAAAUAUUGAACUGCCAAAGCUCAGAGACUUAUGUGAAUUUUAGAGGUCCCCAAAGAAGUUGUAAAGUGGGAGAAUGAAAUAAAUAGCCAACUAUUUAUUGUGGGUACAACAUGAAAUUUAUCAGCCUAUAUUGGAUCCUACUUCCUCCGUUUCUAAAUAUAGGUCUUUCUAGAGAUUUCAACAAGUGACUAUAUACGGAGCAAAAUGAGUGAAUCUAUUUUCUAAAAUAUGUCUAUAUACAUCCGUAUGUGGUAGUCCAUUUGAAAUCCCUAAAAAGACUUAUAUUUAGGAACGGAGGGAGUAGAAAAAUACACAUUGGCCCCCGCGUCACUCCGCAGGGCGACAUCUGAAACCCAGCCGUUCCUCGCCACCGCCAGGCGACGAUA